GACGAACGCUGGCGGCGUGCUUAACACAUGCAAGUCGAACGGAAAGGCCCUGCUUUUGUGGGGUGCUCGAGUGGCGAACGGGUGAGUAACACGUGAGUAACCUGCCCUUGACUUUGGGAUAACUUCAGGAAACUGGGGCUAAUACCGGAUAGGAGCUCCUGCUGCAUGGUGGGGGUUGGAAAGUUUCGGCGGUUGGGGAUGGACUCGCGGCUUAUCAGCUUGUUGGUGGGGUAGUGGCUUACCAAGGCUUUGACGGGUAGCCGGCCUGAGAGGGUGACCGGCAACAUUGGGACUGAGAUACGGCCCAGACUCCUACGGGAGGCAGAAGUGGGGAAUAUUGCACAAUGGGCGGAAGCCUGAUGCAGCAACGCCGCGUGCGGGAUGACGGCCUUCGGGUUGUAAACCGCUUUCGCCUGUGACGAAGCGUGAGUGACGGUAAUGGGUAAAGAAGCACCGGCUAACUACGUG
rnacentral:rRNA from 1 species